rnacentral:rRNA from 1 species
UUAGUGGCGGACGGGUGAGUUACGCGUGAACAACCUGACCUAAAGAGGGGGAUAACAACGAGAAAUCGUUGCUAAUACCGCAUAAGACCACGACCCGGCAUCGGGAUGAGGUCAAAGGAGCAAUCCGCUUUAGGAGGGGUUCGCGUCCCAUUAGAUAGUAGGCGGGGUAAAGGCCCACCUAGUCAGCGAUCAGUAGCCGGACUGAGAGGUCGAACGGCCACAUUGGGACUGAGAUACGGCCCAGACUCCUACGGGAGGCAGCAGUGGGGAAUAUUGGGCAAUGGGCGAAAGCUGACCCAGCAACGCCGCGUGAAGGAAGAAGGCCUUCGGGUUGUAAACUUCUUUUAUGAGGGACGAAGGAAGUGACGGUACCUCAUGAAUAAGCCACGGCUAACUACGUGCCAGCAGCCGCGGUAAUACGUAGGUGGCAAGCGUUAUCCGGAUUUACUGGGUGUAAAGGGCGCGUAGGCGGGAAGGCAAGUUAGAUGUGAAAUCCAGGGGCUCAACCCCUGAACUGCAUUUGAAACUGCUUUUCUUGAGUGUCGGAGAGGUAGAUGGAAUUCCUAGUGUAGCGGUGAAAUGCGUAGAUAUUAGGAGGAACACCAGUGGCGAAGGCGAUCUACUGGACGAUAACUGACGCUGAGGCGCGAAAGCGUGGGGAGCAAACAGGAUUAGAUACCCUGGUAGUCCACGCUGUAAACGAUGAAUACUAGGUGUGGGGGGACUGACCCCCUCCGUGCCGCAGUUAACACAAUAAGUAUUCCACCUGGGGAGUACGACCGCAAGGUUGAAACUCAAAGGAAUUGACGGGGGCCCGCACAAGCAGUGGAUUAUGUGGUUUAAUUCGAAGCAACGCGAAGAACCUUACCAGGGUUUGACAUCCAACUAACGAAGCAGAGAUGCAUUAGGUGCUUCGGGGAAAGUUGAGACAGGUGGUGCAUGGUUGUCGUCAGCUCGUGUCGUGAGAUGUUGGGUUAAGUCCCGCAACGAGCGCAACCCUUAUUGCUAGUUCUACGCAAGAGCACUCUAGCGAAACUGCCGUUGACAAAACGGAGGAAGGUGGGGAUGACGUCAAAUCAUCAUGCCCCUUAUGUCCUGGGCUACACACGUAAUACAAUGGCGUUUAACAGAGGGAAGCAAGACCGCGAGGUGGAGCAAAUCCCCAAAAAACGUCUCAGUUCGGAUUGUAGGCUGCAACUCGCCUAUAUGAAGUCGGAAUUGCUAGUAAUCGCGGAUCAGCAUGCCGCGGUGAAUACGUUCCCGGGC